rnacentral:rRNA from 1 species
CGGGAAGCAAGCAGAUCUCCUUCGGGGGUGACGCUUGUGGAACGAGCGGCGGACGGGUGAGUAACACGUGGGCAACCUACCUGUAAGACUGGGAUAACUCCGGGAAACCGGGGCUAAUACCGGAUGAUACAUAUCGUCGCAUGACGAGAUGUUGAAAGGCGGCAUAUGCUGUCACUUACAGAUGGGCCCGCGGCGCAUUAGCUAGUUGGUGAGAUAAAAGCUCACCAAGGCGACGAUGCGUAGCCGACCUGAGAGGGUGAUCGGCCACACUGGGACUGAGACACGGCCCAG